CAGGGAAACUCUGCAUAAGCACAUAAUGCUCAUCGGUCAUCAACUUUAGACAUCUUAUCAAUAUUUCAAGAUUUCACAGCUAUUGAGUUGGGUCAUUCAUUUCAGAUGGAUAUGCAUCAAUUUACGAAGAAGAUAUUAAUGUUGUUGAUGAAGGUUCGGAGAUAUGAUUUUCUAUCCAAGAAGUUUGAAGUUAAUUUGUAAUUUUAUACAAGAAUAAGCUAACUUUAUUAGAGUUUGUCUUUGUUUAUUGUGGAGUUAUAAAAUUUUUUUAUGAAUGCUAUUUGCAAGAGUUUAUCUUUUUUUGUUGAUAUGGA